ensembl:snoRNA SNORD124 small nucleolar RNA, C/D box 124
AGAUCCCACGGAAGGAAUGAUGUUCCAGUUGAGACUCAAGAAAAGGAUUCUGAGCCUUAGAGCUUUGAAGCAGCCAGUUGGUCACUGACCUUCCUUGAGGCAAA